rnacentral:rRNA from 1 species
CGGAUUGUAGUCUGNAACCCGACUACAUGAAGCUGGAAUCGCUAGUAAUCGCGGAUCAGAAUGCCGCGGUGAAUACGUUCCCGGGUCUUGUACACACCGCCCGUCACACCAUGGGAGUCGGAAAUGCCCGAAGUCAGUGACCCAACCGUAAGGAGGGAGCUGCCGAAGGUGGAGCCGGUAACUGGGGUGAAGUCGUAACAAGGUAAC